AGAGAAAGCAGAAUUCCCCUGCUCUGUCUCUGUAGGUAGCUUUGAUAGGGAUUUCAGGUUUGGAGACUUUCUCAACAGAUCUUUUAAAUGAGCUUUUUUGCAUAGGUUGCCUCUGGAAUUGGGAAGCUUUAUGCUCUGUGAUGCGAUAGCAUCUGCUUUGCACUCUAGAGCUGGUGUAAGUUAUGUGAAUUGGGUUUAGCCCGGUGCAUUAGCAGUGUAGACGAAGUGGACGGCUGUGCCAACAGUAUGAGGAAUUGUGCCAGUGAAGUUGUCAGGUGUAUCUGAUAGAGAAGAGGUGGGUUUCCACUGUCCUUUCUUUUGCAGGAAAUGGUAAUAAUGAUAAACGGGGAAGAGUGUGGCCCCAUACCCACCAUAAACCCUCUUGCUUUUUGCACCUAUGAGGUUAUUUUCCAGCUUACAUUGCCUUCUGUGCAGUUAAGGGGAGUUGUGGGAUUUUUGCGAACUAUGUCAAAUAUUUUGAAUAAAUUCCUCUGGGGCAUUUCUCAGAAUGAAUCAAAGGCAAAGGUCCCUGUUAAUAUCCGCCAGAGGAGAACAAGUAGGAGUUUCCAGACCAGCUUUGGAGUUAUCAUAACACUAAAAAAAAACCCACUCCUUCCUGCCCCCACCCCAGUCCUUCAUGUCUCUUAGUCACUGUAUCUAGACUACAUGCAUUUGACAGGGAAUUAAAUCCACAGUAUUUGGAGUUGUAAUCAUCUGGGUUUAUUCCCAUAAGAAUGGUGGUGACAAAGUUCAAAAAUCAUGUUGUAGAUAACAGUCCAUUUUAAAGACUAUAAUGUCCUCUGACGAGUGAAAUAACCAGUUCUGAAAUAUGCAGUAACUGGUCACUAUAAGGAAUUUAUGUAGUAUCAAAGCAGCGGAUGUGUGGCAUAAGUAUCUCCUGUUUUAAGAAGGUAUCUAUCUUCACCUUCAUUAUCACCCACGCUUUGGUUGGUGAAUCACAUUUUGAUAUAAGGACUAUAAAAAUGUGAGGUUUUAUAGGGAUUUUGACAUGUUCCAGGAAUGUGAUCUCGGUGGGACGCUCCUUUUUCAAAAGGGGAAGACCUCUUGUCUGAAAUGCUUUAUUAAUUCCCAAAGUAGGUCAGGAAUGCAGUCAUUGAGAUACGUUAUGUGUAGUGAGUGAGUCAUGGUGUGAACAGCUAUUGGGAAUGCUGUGUACUGCUUGUGUUUGUUAAGUGCAGAAUUGUAUUGGGAACAAUAAACUAACAAAGGGGAGAUAUUACAUAGUUUGUUUCAUCUUCAUUUGUCUCAAAGAAAGGGGAUAAUUGAUCUUUUCCGUGAGAGAGUAUUGUUAUACCUGCUGUGGGGUUUGAGGCUGUUUUCACACGUUAAGUCAAAUUGUUAGGGAUGCUGCUAUAGAAAGAGAUGAAACAGCCAACUGACACCGUCCAGUGGAAUCCAAAGCGGUCUCAACACAGCUCCAAAAUUGGCAGUGUGAACGGGGCCAAACAUGCCAGAGGAGGUUGCGUGCCUUCUCCCUGUGGUCAUAUGUGGAUUCUCUGCAGCAUGUCUGGCUGUGAGGUUGUUUCCAGUGGUAAACUCCAAGAGUGAGAUAUGAUGAGUCCUUACCUCCCAUUGGGGUCAAUUUUUCCACCUCUACAGUGGUUAAGAGGUUGCAGCCCUGGUGGAAGGAACACAGGGAGAGACACUGAUGCUGGCAAAGCUGCCUGGCAGUGGAAAGUGUGAUUCUUUUUGGAGCUUUUUUUUACCGCUCUCCUGAAACGUCCCACCUUUUCUAACCCAAGGCUAAGGUAAAUGAAACCCUAAAGCGCUCAGAAUGGUAAGAAAGUUUAUAUGCUGCAUUUUCUGCAGAUAAAUGUAGGUAAAUGUGAGGUGGUGGGAGAGUAAAAGUGAGUAUUGUUGAUCCACUGGAUGGUGCUGUUGUUUUAUAUAAACAGCAGAGAGCUCCAACUGAUGACUUCUAGUACUGUUUUGCUUCAGAGAGAAUUAAGGAGGAUGUGCACAGUCCUUUUCUCCUUAGCAAAUCUUUCACAAGUCCUGUAUGUUGUGAUCCACCUGUUAUCCAGCAUUCCUGAGACUGGCUAAACUUAGCUUAUCACUACAGAUGGGAAGACUCAUAUUUUCUGGGCAAUUCCUCCUGAUCAGGACCAGAAUUUUUCUAAAAAAAUCUCAUUUAAAACUUCCUUCAAUCCCGCAGUCCCCAAAAGUUAAGCUUUGUUUCACCUGCGGGAUGUGUGUUAGUUGGCUCAGUCAAAUGCAAUAAGCGAGCUAAGAGUCGCUGGAGGAGAAGCUUGUUUUCAGAGUCUGUGGUUAUACUUCAUUGUGGGGAAGAGGAGACACGUUCCUCUGAUGAAACCACCUUUCCAGAGGCCAGCACUUGAGUUUUAAUUUUGUUUGUCUGCCAUGGCAUCAGCUUGCAUAGCAUGAGAUAAGAUCUGAAGUAGGUAUUUGCAACUUAUUUGGCAUUGUUCUAAUGUCCUUGUAACUAUUUAUUGUAUUGUUUUAUAACCCUCUCUUAAAGAUAUAGCUGUGAUCCUUACAAAGGAGGGGACUUUGUGGAUCAUUGCCUCUGUAAUUUGUCAUCCUUGUCAACACUGUUACAGACUUUUAUUGGAAAGCAAGCAAAGAACAGUACCCUAUGUGGUGUGAGAAAUCGUUUUGCAAGCUCUGCCUAUGACUCAGUUGUUGGCAUUCUGCUACUGAUAAUUGAUGGAAGUAGAAGUUAACUCAAGAUGCUGGUUUUAAGGAAAGGGGAGGGUGGGAAAGGAAGUGGUGAAAGUAGUUUGUAGUAAACAAACAUGGCCACAUUGGUUCAGUAGCUCUUUUGAAAGGUGAUACUUUGAAUUUUUAGUGCUUUCCAGCUUCAUAGAACUGGCUGUCAGCUUCUUUCAGUUUCCAGGUAACCUGAAUUCUGGUCGCAGAUGAGAACCUUGGAGAGAAAACUGCAGUCUGUUGGCAGUAGGUAUUUCUGAUGACCAUUGCUAGUCUGUGGAGUUCCAGUAAAAACCUGUGUGAUGGCACUGGUUCAGCGUAGAGCAUUAUGUUCUGUGUCACUGCAAGGCUUUUUUCAGUACCCGUGUUCCUGCAGCGCCCGUGUCUGAGCUAAUCGAGAGCUGACCUGCUGGGACACAGGCAUGGGUGUGAGUAACCAGGGUCUAGAGACUGGCUGCUACAAAUGUGAGGGACAAGCAGAGGUCAGAAGAUAUAAUAUGUUACUUUGAGGAUGCCAGUGGUUCAUACGUGUAGCAAGUCCUGACUUCAGAUGAAUAACAGCGUCAGAUCCAUGCCUUAAUUUCUCAUCUUAUUGUAAGCUGGUUUGGACUCAGGGUAGCGGUUCCCAGUUGAAUCACAAGAUCUUUCUGAUCCCUCCUGUCACCCUGAAUUCCCUUUAGCUGCCACUCCAUUUGUGUGGAGUAUGUCCUUUCAUGUCGGCAAGUACCAUUUAAAAAUCCAGGUGUUUCAUUUUGGAGGAGAAACAUUGUAGCCCAGCAGAUAAUAGAGUUGAGCAUGACCUUUUGAGGAAAGAGGGACUGACUGACUGGGUGGAUAAACCAGGACUGUCUGGGGAAACAGAUUUGCAGGGAGGUGGAAUGACCGGCUGCCUAGGCUUGUCCCAGAAUCUGACAUUUGUCCUAAAAGUCAGAGCUAUGUCUAUUGCAAAUUGAGGAGUUAUAGUUUCUGGUUACUUCCAAGACAUAGCCUAUGUAGUUAGAGUGACUGAGAGGGAGACUCAUACCUGUUGAUGUCUCAACUUGCUGUUUGGGUUGGCUUUUUGUUAGAAGAUCUCCUCUGUAUGUGUUUAUACACUUCAGUUGUGAUUAGCCUGCGUAGACAUUGUCUGUUCCUCUUACAUGGUCUUUGUUUUGUUUCUUUUUCCACUGUGAUGUGAAGCUAUUGGAUGAGUUACGCAGGUUGUUACCUGCAUAUUAGCAAUAGAAAGACCAGUAGAAACCGGAUGGAGAAAAGAGGAACCCCAGCUUUUCUCUGUACAGACUAUGCUGAAAUUUUCAUGCCCACACCCUUAAAUCAGCUUUGUGGUGGUGAAGUUUUACUUUUGGCAUGAGCAAGAAGACUUUAUUUCAGGCAGUGCUGCAUGAAAAUUAUAGGUUGGGUGUUGCCAACUCUUUCUCCUGUAUGGGCUGUGUUUCUUUGUCCUGCAAUAAAGGAUUUCUGCGUCUCAUCUGCCGUCCUUGUGGCAGGAUAGAGCUGGGUGACGUUAGUGAACAAGGGGAGUACCACCCAGUGACCCUGAGAUAGGAGCAGAGGCAUUCUCAAAAUUUCUUUUGGGGGGGAAAUUUUAUCUUCCAGCUAUUUUCAAGCUGUCCAUGAACACCCAAGAGUGUUGGACCUCAGUCCUUUACUCUUGUUUUGUGUGUAGACCAUGACAGUUUCAACAGCCCUACAAUUGCACUGUUAAAUUGGCAGUGCUGCGAGUGGGUUGAUGAGAUGGCUCCCUAAAAUGUCGCAAGGAAAUGGCCCACUGUCUACACACCCCUUUUUGUUUUGUUUUGUUUUUUAAAACUCCUGUCAGCACCAUUGAGGUGGGAAAUUUUGUUUGGCUGUUUGAUUUAACACACCAUUCAGGCGACUGGAAGAUCCAGCAGUCCUUUGUGCUGCCCCUGAGAUCUGCAAUGGACUCUAGUCCCAGGCUUUCCUUUCUCCCCAGUAUCUGUUCUCACAGAUGAACAUCCACAUCAGAGAGCAAAACUAGGGGAGAAAAUCUAUGGUAAUGUAACUAAGAAUGUAACUUAUUGCAGCAGAGAGGAAAUCCUGUGUGAUACAAAGUCAUAAAAAGAAAACUGCAUCAGUGGCUCUUGGACCUUUAUCAGACUGUUCCUGUUGCAGGCCUGAUCAUUCUCAUUUUGAUAACUAAAAAUGGGGACACAAGGCCUGAGGUGCAAGCUGCAGAGCUAGGGACAAGCACACUCGGCGUGUGUCCUGCCUGACUUCUCUGUGCCGUGCUUUUCAGUAGAGUGACACCCAUCUUUAGGAAUUGCAGCUCACGGGAGGAGAUGAGUAAUGUCAUUACGCAGUAUUAUUAGAAACAGACAGAUUGAUCCUCUCGGCCCCGGCUGAGACUGUGCAACAGGAGUGUCCUUCCCAGAGAUCUAAGGCCUGUGAGACAAACCCCAAUUGAACAGAUGCUAAGCAGCUCCCAGGGAACCAAGAGAGAAUGGCAUGCCCUUCCUGAGCGCCAGGAUCUCACAUUUCCACUACAAUGGCACAGUGUGCUGCGCUCCUGCCCAGCAAUUACUUUGCCUGGGGUUUUCCCAGUAUGAGGUUGAUAGGUGUUGUGCAACCGAGGUGGCAAAGGAUUACCUUCUCUCCAUGGCUCGCAAAAGCCUCUGUCCAGAUAAUAGGAGGAGGAUGGAGAUAAGUAUCACAGUACGCCCUAGCUAUCUGAAUAAAGCAGGAGAAGAACUGUUAAAUAGAAGACAAUAGACAAAAGGGAGAGAAGGGAAGAGAAGCAUGUGAUUUCCAGCAGUAAAUCCAUCUUGCUUCUUACAGGACGGUGUGGCCGUGCUACUCUUGCAGCUAAAAAUGUGACUGCGUUUCUCCAGUGCAUCUGUCAGUCAGGACCAGAGAGGAAGGCACUGUGAGGCCACAUUUUUCCAGGUGUCAGUCAGGGACACAAUGAUUUAUACCACUCAAGAAGUGGGCUUGCAUCUUGCAUUCCUGUAGCACUUUUCAUGCCAAAGGAUGCCAAAUGGCGCAUUUGUCCUGCCAGAUGUCAAGCGGAAUGGUUUCUGAUGUUAAGUCAGUGGGAAGAGUAUGGGAAAGACCUUUAGCAAGAAAUAUUUAACUUCUGGCUCUAAAAUUAGUAGACCCUCUCAUAGAUGUGAUUCCGUAAUUCUUAUCUGUGCAGGGCCUGAUUUUUGCAGACAUACGUGAAGUGCUGAGAUAAUAUGCUUGUGUUUUUGGCCGGGAGUAUGGAGAGAGAUUUGUAUUUUUUGAUUCUUAUGUUUCUCAGUAGCAGUGGAGGAUUCUGGAACUCUUCCGCUCCUGGCAGCUGCCAGGGAAAGGAGCUGGAGAGGCUGCUUUUCUGAUGGGGGGCCAGUUAGCCAUGAGUUUAAUAAAUUAUCUCCUCACCUGUCUGCAGCACUGCCCUACUCCUUGGGGGGAACAGCUGUCUGAGAGAUUCCUAGUCAAGGAUCAGAAUAUUUUCUUCCUUUCCAUCAAAUAGAUUUUAAAGGGGAAAAAAACCCACAACCUAAAUCAGCCCUGAAGUGGUGUCAGUUUUGUCUCUGUCUGUCAGCUCUGGGGUGAUAUGCUCGGCUUCCUGCUGGGAUGGCACAGACAAAAGGCUAUUGAGGGAGGCAUUUGGAUAAAGGAGCCCCUGGUUCUUUACAGCCGCGUAACUCCAGCUGACAUAUCCAGCCAUUGUUGCUGGGAGUAUUUUUAUGUUUUGUUUUUUUUUAAUUCUCUCAAAUGAAGUGUCUCAUCAGUCUUCUCAGCUUUGUGUGUCUGAGAAAGGAAUGCUGGGACCUGGGCCAUUUCAGUGUUGCAUCUUAAGCGGGAUGGGAUGAAAGGUGAAGAGCUCCAGAAGCAGAAAAGCAGUGUGAUGGAAGACUUGGUCUGCUUCAUUCCAUACAGAGAGGUUAACACCUAUAGCUGUGGCCACAGGGAACAUGCACAAUAGCUGAGCGGUCAUUGUGCUUGCAGAGAGAACUAAAACAAGUUCCAGUGACCAGAGGCUGUAAUAUGGCCAAAUUCAGAGCAUUAUAUCCCAUUUCCCAGCGAUUGCUCCAGGCAAGGACUUUCCCUGGUGCAUGGGAGCUGGCUGUAGGACCCUGCCUGUAUUUCCAUUACCAUGUGGGAGAGGGGGAAACAUUCCAGCUUGGACCAAUAUCAUCUGCUGUUACAACAUGGAUUCAAGGCAGUUUCUUUACUGGGGCAUUAGCUGGGUGAGACUGGAUACCAAGCAGACAGAACAGCACUAAUAAAAAACGAACAAGUUUUCUGUUCUCUGCAGCUCUGCUGCAUGGACACUGAGGAGGCACUUGGUAGCAUUCAACCAUGAAAGCCACUGUCUCUCUCCUGGAGCAUUUCAGCCCGUGGAGAACACAGACCAGUUGGUUCACUAAAUUGUUCCCUGUCUCCUGGCACAGUUCUCUGAGGCUUUGCUCUGUGACAAAACUGUGAGUAUUCUUGCAAGGGCAGCAGUAGAAGAGGUGGGGGCUUUAUCCCCAUAAAUGCUGUUUGUCUCUGGGUGUUUGCUCAGUGUUUUUGAGAGAAGGUUUGGUGCAGAAGGGAAGGGACUUACUGGAAAAUGGCCAGUGAGUGUGGAAUUAAGGCAGGCUUGGGAGAUGUUGGGCUAUCAAAGCUUUUUUUGUGAAAGCAAGACAAAUAGCUGUGCAGAGUUUGCUCUUGUAAUCUUCUUCCCCACCCUGGAUUCCUAACCUGAAAGCAUGUGCUUAUGAAGAUGACUACUGAAUAGUGAGGGGAAAACAAGAACCUAACAUUUCCAAGCCAAGCCUUUGCCUAGCUUAGCCUUUGCUAACGCACAGGCAUGACCACCAAGCAGUCAUGUGCUGCAGGCAACGUCAUGCUUUUUCUCUCCCAGUUAUAACUCACUCAGUUUUUAUAUCAUCAAGUAAUACUGUGAACAGGUCCAAACAUCCCCAGCUUCGUCAGCAGGUCCUUAUUCCACAGGCUGCCAGUCAGGCACUGGUUUGGUAUGUUGUGGACAUCACUGAAAGACAAGUUUGUCCUACAGUGAAGCUUGAUCAAUUCGUAGAACAGCUCUGUCCUUAAAGCACAUCUUGUGAUGCCCUGUUCUCUAGCCCAGAGUCACGGGAAAGUGGAAAGCACACGGGGCACAGGCAAGUAAGCAAGGUAUGAUACACAGUCCUCUGGAGAACGUGCCAAAUCAUUGGCAUAGUUCAGACUGUAGCCAACACCCACAACACACACAGCGUAAGAUGUAUGGAGAUAAUGUUUGUUUACGAACAAAAACCAGAAAGGCAAAUCUGCCUUUCGUCUGUCCAGGAUGUAACUAAGGAUGUAAUUAAGUGUAAUUAAGUGGAUGUGGAAUUAAAUGGACUGUUAGAGAUAGAAAAGAACUAACAGAUAACCAUCUUCACUUGAUGGUCCCAGGUGGAGUUUUCUUAAAAAAAAAAAAAAAAAAAAGGUCUUUUUUUCACAGCACUGAAGAACAGAAGUUCUGGUGUUGGCAUUGACAUUGGACACGCUAAAGAUGGAGCAGCAGUGCUGGGUUCAGAGUCUCUGCACCUUGAGAGGAGCAGCAUCUCCUGGGAUUGCCGGUCCUCUGAUGACCUGUGUCGUGCACUUAAAUGCAGAGAGAGUAACUUGUCAGGAAGUGCGGACAAUAAAGAAAUGCAGCUAACGCUGAGCCUUGUGCAGGGAAUCCCUGCAGCUUUUUGCUCUGUGGUGUGGAGGGGCAUAAGGCAAUUGAGCAUUUUCCAACAUGCCCCAGAUAUGCUACAAAUGGACACCCAAGAGCAACAGGGUUUAAACAAUUCUGAUAAUGGGAAGUCAAGGAGCUUUUUAAAGGGGACUUUGGGGAGAGACAUCACAAAACUCAAACAAGAUAUGGUUGAAAGGACACCAAGAUGGGAAGAAAAGGAGGAGCAGAAGAAAAUGAUGAAACCAGUUCCCAGGGUGGAAGAAGCCAAGGAGAACAUGGCUGUGAAACUACCCCCCAGGUCGGAGGGAAUCAAGAAGACAACAGUAAAACCAGCCCCUACGGUGCAGGGAAACAAGGCGAAAACAGCAGUGAGACCAGCCUCAGGGGUGGAAGAAGCCAAGGAAAAGACAAUAGUGAAACAACUUCCCAGGGCGGAGGAAGCCAAGGAGAAGACAACAGUGAAACCGACCUCUGGGGUGAAGGGAGCUCGUGAAAACAACAGAUCCAAAGACCAAAUAAAGCCAAAAGAGCCUUCUGCACCAGUGAAAACUGUAACAUCUGUUCCUCGGGCUGCUGCAGUGACAGAAAAGAAGAAACUGAGAGCUGCUGACUUCAAGUCUGAGCCACGGUGGGAUUUCGAGGACAAGUACCUGCUGGACAACUCAUCUCCACCAUCGACCUGCUCUGAGUCAGUGAAGGCCAAAGCUGCCAAGUCUGACUGGCUGCGGGAUCUUUUCCUGCCCAACAUCAUGCUCUUCACAGACAAGAGAUACUUCAGUGACAAUGAGUGGGACCGCCUGGAGCAUUUUGCACCUCCCUAUGGCUUCAUGGAGCUGAAUUAUUCGCGUGAGUCCCUCAGGGCAUGUCAGGAUGGGACCAUCAAACUCCCGACAGGAGCCUUCUGUCAAGUAGCUGGAGGUUUGCAGCAUCUCCAUGUCAAAGGCAUCAGGCUAGUUGUGAAGGAGGUCAUGUCCCUGCUGCCCCCAAAACCCCACCAGCAGCUGCUCCUGGCCGACAGCAACAGCAGCACGCCAACGUGCAUCAGCUGUGCUGUCGUGGGGAAUGGAGGAAUAUUGAAUAACUCUGGGAUGGGCCAGGAGAUUGACUCCCAUGACUACGUCUUCCGGGUGAGCGGGGCUGUCAUCAAAGGCUACGAAAAAGAUGUGGGAACAAAAACCUCCUUUUAUGGAUUCACAGCCUUCUCCCUGGUGUCCUCUCUUCAGAUCUUGGGACACAGAGGGUUCAGCCACAUUCCACGGGGAAAACAUGUCAGAUACAUUCACUUCCUGGAGGGAACCAGAGACUAUGAGUGGCUGAAGGCUCUUCUGCUGAACAAGAACAUCAGGAAAGGAUUCUUAGACGAGCAGAAGCCCCGGGAGAGAUUUGAUGAAGAUUUCACAAUGGACAAAUACCUGGUGGUUCACCCUGAUUUCCUCAGAUACAUGAAAAACAGGUUUUUAAAAUCUGAAACUCUGGAAAAGCCUUACUGGCGGCUGUACAGGCCCACAACGGGGGCCUUCCUGCUGCUGACUGCCCUCCAUCUCUGUGACCAGGUGAGCGCUUAUGGCUACAUCACAGAGGGUCACGAGAAGUACUCGGAUCACUACUAUGACAAGGACUGGAAACGUCUGAUUUUCUACACUAAUCACGACUUCAACCUGGAGAAGCGGGUGUGGAAAAAGCUUCAUGAUGAGAAUAUCAUGAAGCUUUACCAGAGAUCAUGAUUGUGUGGCAGGGGCCAUUGCCUGGGAAAUCGCAACAACACCUCACUGGGAACAGAAGAGGACCACCAGAGGCAAGGCAAGAAACUGAGGCACGGAGCAGGCAGAGCUGGAGACCAGUGCUUGGCUUCCCAGCACGGAGCAGGUGCUUCUUCCAGGUGCAUCGCUCUCAAGCAGCCAUGGUUGACCGGGUGCCGGGGGAGUGUAGCAGAGGCGUGUGCUGGCUCCAGGUCAGUGUAAAAACCUCUAUGCUGGUGACCAAACAGAUGCUAUUUACAUUCCCCAAGUGGAGAGAGGUUUGGGGCAGGCCCUCAGUGCACAGGGGUGGGGAGGCUCAUGCUCCUCACCACCGUGCUGACCUUCUCUGUGUGGUGGGGAUGUGGCAGCAAAGAAAUCCAGUUGGACCAGAAAAGCUAUUGAUAAUAGGGGAGGGAAAACAAGAUAAAGGAGCAGCCCAUGGCUUUGUUGUGCAAAAACCACCAGAUGACCUCUGAGGCCCUCCCCUGCAGUGAGCCCUGAUCUCCGUGCAUAGGGCAGCACAAACAUCUCCUGGGGGUGCAGCAGCCCCUAGUUCCCAGCCAAGGGUCUGUGGUAGCCCGGGCUUCUCUACCAGUCUGGGCAGCAGGACCCUGGGUGCUGUGGGGCUUUCCUGAUCCAGCCUUCAGGGUGGUAAAUCCUGGAAAGACACUGAGUCCUGGGAACAUCCCAAGGCUCCCUCCAUCCCUCCCACGGCAGCCAUGCCACAUCAGGUGGGGACCGCACAGGCGGGCAAGGGUCUGACACCAGCCCACAGUCAGAGACGAUGUCCCCUCUCCCCAGCUUUGGGGACAGAGCCUGGCCCUGUAGCUUUGAGGCUCCCCUUUUUCAGCAGACCUCCGGAAUGUCUGCCCUGCUGAGACAGGGCAGGAUCAGUCCACGUCUGCCCUACCUGGUCCAGAGCAGCCAAGAGAGAGGCAGGCAGUUGUCUGUGUCGUGUCACCCUAAUUUCUCAAAGAUGUUUCCCAGCUCUGCACCCCUCCAGGGCAUCACCCAGAGCCUCACAGGUUGCCUCAUGCCUGGCAGAGAGGGGAUGGCCUUCGGACUGUGUGUUUGGCUUGUCUUGGCCCCGGUCGAUGGUGUCUAGGGCUGACCAGCGGCUCUGUUGUGUGCAGACGUCCCUGCGAUAAGAGCUGGGCUGAGCCCCAGCAGCGCCCAGCCAAUGUAAGUCAUAUGCUGCCGCUGCGUGUGAGGUCCUGACCUGCCACCCCAGCCCGUGGCUCGUCCCCACAACCUUCCUGCUUGUGCGAGGAGCCCGAGGGGACUAAAGGGUGUGUUUCCCCCACGGGCCGCGUCCUGACAGAUUGGCACAAAGAUGGGGCACGUCAGCUCAGUUUGCCUGCGCAGCUGCAUCCCCGAGCCCCUUUCCCUACCCGUGAGGCAGAGCCCAGCGCUCGGAGCUGCCGUGGGGUGACGCUGAGCACAGCCCUGAGCACCUCUAGACCCGCGGCUGAGUGCUGCCACCGCACCGCCGUCACGCGGGUCCCUGUGUCCAAGCAUCCUCCCUGCGGUCACUUCGGUUGCAGUAACACCUAAAAAUCCGAGCAAAGCCGGUGCGGGAGCAUCCACGGCACCAUCCAGGCUCAGUGCGAGCAGGCGCUUUGCCUGAGCCCGUUUCCGCGGGGGACCUGGCGGGAGGAGGCUCGGCCGAGGCGUGCUCUCGCUGCUCCCCCCGCCCCGUGGGGAAGGGGCCGUGCGUCAGCCUCUCGAGACAUCUGCUGACGAGUUUUUCAUUAGGCGAUGGCCUUGCCUCCGCAGGCAGCCAUAUGGCCCUGCAUUCUCCAGCGGGGCCGACACAGGCAACGCGUUCCGAGGUCCAGAUUUUGCGUUUCAGGGAAAUUUCCUACGAGCAGAUUUUUGGCACUUUCUUAAAUGCACCUCUGACCCGUGCUGAGCAAAUUGGGAUAUAGAAAUCCUCCAGGAGGUUUUUGGAGAUGUCUUUCUCCUGGCUGGACAGUUCAUCAUGGCAAAGACCAUAAGACUUUCAUCCACCAACCCAUGGCCAAGAGCCAGCUGGUGCA